AUAUGAUGACCAAGGCAUUAGAGUUUAGGAAUACUUUUUCUACCAGAAAAGUGCUUUAGGCGCCGCAUGCUUGAAUAUAAAAAGGGAGUUGUUAGGGUAUUUUUUUUUGUUUUCUUCACCACUAACGCCCUUUGUUGCAACAUCCUUAACCCGAUUUCUUGAUAGUGGUGAGUGAUGAGUCUCAAGGACGAGUUGCCUCCUUCAAACCUCGCCGAGGAUAAGCUGAGCGGAUGUUCUUCCAAUCCUCCAUCCUUAAUUAAACAAAAUAUUUUGAAUUUUAAAAAAGAUGUAGAAGCAAUAACUUGGAAUUGAAUGGUUUUUAUUACUCAUACUUUGGCUGCAUUCAGUCUUAUUUGCAACAACUUGGAAGGGUAUAGUCGAUGCUCGAUUAAUCAUCUGUCACGUUAUUUCUAUUGUCAGUCUUUGGGGAACUAGUUUUUUGGGAUUAAAUGAUUUAAGUGGAUGGUGGUUACUUGUCUUUCUCGAGAAGGAAUCUUUGAAUGGAGAUGAAGAGGACAUAGAAAUUGCAGCUCCAAUCUGGUUUCCUAUCAUUCCCGGUGCAGCAUGUUGUUUAUUUUUGCUUUUAGCUAGAAUAAUCUGUUGGCCCAUUAAUAACUAUGUGGUGAAGCCUAAAUCUGAAGAUUUACCUACGCUCGUAGGUCUCUACUGGCUUGGUUUUAGCCUUUUGAUCCUCUUGGCUUUUGUUUUUGCCUUUGUCACGAUAAUCAGUUGUGCAACUGCAGCAGCUACUCCGACUUCAGAUCUCGAGAUGAGUGUUGAUCAACCUGCUUCUUGUACCGGUACAAACCAUGGAAGAGAAAGGAAAAUGAAAAGAUUCAAUAUUCUUAAAAUUAAUUAUGGGCUACUUGUACGAGUUUUGUUAUUGUUUUGUCUCUUGCCAUUUAGAAAUCGAUCUUAAAGAGUUAUUUACUUCAGUUUU